AAAAUUUAUCGAACCGUCGGCGUGUUCUUCCCAAAAGCAAUUGGCGCUCUGUUCGGCGCCGCCCCGCUUCUCCCAUUCCUCAGGCCGCCCAAAAUUUCCCGGCCUCCUCGUCUUCCCCCGCAAAUUCUCGCGCUCCCCACAGCCGCGCCUCCUCGGAUCCUCGCCUGCUGCGGAAGCACGGAGUGCUACACCCGCACCCUCCCGCGUCCUGCCCCCAAACCCUAGACCCCAGAGGAAGCCGCAGGCCAGCAGCCGCCGCCCCGAUGCGGCGAGCCUUCGAGGAGAUCUCCGACGAAGAGUGGUCAAACCACACCUUCAAGCCUUCGCGCGUCCUCAAGCGCCCCCACCGCACCUCCCAGCCAGCGGCGCCGCCUCCCCCUCCCAUCGAGUCCUUCCGCUACGACCGGAAGGCUUCAUCCGCUGUCGGCACAAGCAAAGUCACCGUCGUCCUUUCGGACGACGACGAUGACUUCGAACUGGGGGGAAACGUCAGGUCGCGCCGCGCCGGGAAGAGCUCGGGCGUGCUCAAGCCUCCGCAGCAUAGCAACCCUCCUAGGCGGGGCCCUGUCUCCAGUGUACCCUUCCGGCACAACCCUCAACCCUCGAAGGCCGCCAUCACCGCGGCGUUCUCUCACGAUGACGAUUUCGUCAUCUCAGACGAUGAUUUCGAUCUUCCUGUUUGGAGGACAUCGCGGCGGGGGCGCUCCACUGGUCGUCGUCUGGCAACUGCCACUGUUGACCUCUCCGAGGGAGAGGAAGAGUUAGACCUCGCCUAUGAGGACUCCGACCUCGCUGACGACGACUCUGAUGACCUUGCUGACGAUAAUUCUGACCACCCUGAUCCAAGGCCAUCACGGCCGCGCCGCACCACUGGUCGCCGCUUUGUGAUCGAGGACGAUGAUGACAGUGAUGGCUCUGCUGCUGUGGGUGUCAUGGAGGUAGGAGACGGAGAAGAGGAUGAUGAGAUUAACUUGUCUGAGCUAGAGAAGGAGGACGAUGAUGAUGGGGACUACAAUGGGGAGAGGAGUGUGAAGGUGGAGGAGGUAGAUGGGGACGUGGUGGGGAAGGCAUUGCGCAGGUGCUCACGCAUUUCAGCUGAUCUGCGGCAGGAGCUGUAUGGUUCUUCAACACGGAACUGUGAAAGUUAUGCUGAGACAGAUGCCUCCACUUGCCAGAUUGUCACUCAGGAAGAUGUGGAUGCUGCAUGCACAUGUGAGGAGUUGGACUUCGAGCCAGUGCUGAAGCCAUACCAGCUCGUGGGGGUGAAUUUCCUUGUACUGUUGCAUCGGAAAAAGAUUGGCGGAGCAAUUUUGGCUGAUGAAAUGGGUCUUGGCAAGACAGUCCAGGCUGUGACUUAUCUUAAUCUUUUGCAACAUCUGUAUAAUGACCCGGGUCCACAUCUCAUAGUUUGCCCGGCUUCAGUGUUGGAAAAUUGGGAAAGGGAACUUAAAAAAUGGUGUCCUUCAUUUUCUGUCAUCAUGUUUCAUGGUGCUGGAAGGGCUGCCUACUCGAAGGAGCUAAGUUCCUUAGGCAAAGCCGGCUGUCCACCCCCAUUCAAUGUCCUUCUUACUAGCUACUCACUCUUCGAAAGAAAGAGUGCUCAACAAAAGGACGACCGCAAGGCCCUCAAAAGAUGGAAAUGGAGUUGUGUAUUGAUGGAUGAAGCACAUGUGCUAAAAGAUAAGGGCAGCUUCCGAUGGAAAAAUCUUAUGGCCGUCGCUCAACAUGCUCGUCAGCGGCUCAUGCUGACGGGUACUCCACUCCAAAAUGAUUUGCAUGAGCUAUGGUCAUUGUUGGAGUUCAUGAUGCCUGAUAUAUUUGCCACUGGAGAUGUUGAUCUGAAGAAGCUGUUGAAUGCAGAAGACCAUGAGCUAAUUUUGCAUAUAAAGUCCAUUUUAGGGCCAUUUAUUCUUAGACGUUUGAAAUCAGAUGUUAUGCAGCAACUUGUUCCGAAGACGCAACAUGUUAAUUUUGUCUCCAUGGGCUCAGAGCAGUAUAAAGCUUAUAAAGAUGCCACAGAGGACUAUCGAGCUGUUUGUCAGGCUCGUAGUGCAAAGUCUUCAGUCCAACUUUCCAAUAAUUUGUCUGGGUUAAUUCCAAAGCGUCAAAUAUCAAACUAUUUUAUGCAGCUCCGUAAGAUUGCGAACCACCCUUUGCUUAUAAGGCGCAUUUACAGCGACAAAGAUGUCGAGCGAAUUGCAAGGUUGAUGUACCCUAAAGGCGCAUUUGGUUUUGAAUGUCCCUUGGACAGAGCAAUCCAAGAGCUAAAGAACUCCAAUGAUUUUGCUAUUCACCAACUAUUGAUUUCAUACGGCGAUACGGGUACAAAGGGCGCCCUAAAAGAUGAGCAUGUUCUUGGAUCAGCAAAAUGUCAGGCCUUAGCAGAACUUUUACCUUCUUUAGCAAAUGAUGGCCACCGAGUUCUCAUAUUUAGCCAGUGGACAACAAUGCUGGAUAUCCUUGAAUGGACAUUGGAAGUAAUAGGAGUUACCUAUAGACGUCUUGAUGGGGGCACCCCAGUUAUUGAAAGACAGACUAUAGUGGACACUUUUAAUAAUGAUCGUUCUAUAGUUGCAUGUUUGCUCUCCACAAGAGCUGGAGGCCAGGGGCUGAAUCUAAUAGGAGCUGAUACAGUCAUAAUACAUGACAUGGAUUUUAACCCCCAGAUGGAUCGGCAAGCUGAAGAUCGUUGCCAUCGUAUUGGGCAGCAGAAACCUGUCACUAUCUAUAGGCUUGUGACAAAGGAGUCAGUUGAUGAAAAUAUAUAUGCGAUAGCACGGAGAAAGCUAGUAUUAGAUGCUGCAAUUCUUCAGUCUGGAGCGGAUGUAGAUGAUGAAACUGAUGUACCUGAGAAGACAAUGGGAGAGAUUUUGGCAUCUCUUCUCCUGGUGUGAAGAACUUAUCAUUGAGUGGCUUGAAGGUAUACAAACCUACGCGCAGUGAAUGCCCUUGGCUGGAAUACCUGCAGAGAAUGUCCUUGGCCGGAAUAGCUGGAAUAAUUCUCCGUUCUUUGCUUCAUAAGUAACACACUGAUGUGGCUUUCUUGAUGCUGACCUUUUUAAUAUUUCAUUUUGUUGUCAUCUAGUACUAUUUUGAUCUACAAGUGAUCUUCUGCAAUCCACUGGACAGCCAAGCUGCUUCUGUUCGAUGCUCUUCAUCAGUGACAGUGUAUAAGCUUAACAAGUUAACAUAGCUUGCAAAUCAGAAGUCACAGAACAAAAAUAUACUUUUGUACUGGAUGAGAUAUCAAAAUUACAUGCUCAUUACUGAAAGGGAUGAUAGCUGAAGUUGCAAUUAUAUGGCUGAGAUUUGACUCACCAAUUAACAUUUUGCCCACUUCUGUCUUCAGGAUUCUGUUCUGCGGUUGCGUCCUGGAGUGAGCCCAGUGAUUGUAAAUGUGGAAAUGGAAUGUUGUACUACUUGAUCUCUGUGAAACAGUGAAUUUGUUUGUGUAGUGUGCUCUAGUCCCUGUCUCUGUCGACAAUGAUUUUGAUUGAUCUUGUUUGAUUUAAUACUUCUGUAGUGAUUUUCUGAUGUCGGCAAUAAGGUCGUCCCGUCGCUCAUUCGUGGUAGUGAUCUGGUUUAUUGAUACUAAAAUCCUUUUGACUACAUGUUCAAGGCUUUCCCCAUGAACAAGAAACAUAUAUUGUAGUGGCGUGGGAGUUGUUGGAUGCUGUAGGAGUGUAUUCUGUGCGUGUAUGCAUGUAGUUCCUUCCGUUGUUUCCUAGUUAAA